AUGGAGGCUGCGGUGGUGAGCGGAGCUGGCGGGGCUGCUGGGGCCAGGACUGAGGGAACCGGGCUCACGGGCCACCUGCUGCCUCCGCCUGCGUGGGGACCCCGGCCGCCCCCGCUGCCGUGUCCACCGCGGACGGCCUGCGGCGUCCCCCAGCCCCGGCUUCCCGCGGACCCAUGCCCAUCCGCAUCAGAUACUACGAGAUCGACCACACCAUCGGCAAGGGCAACUUCAUGGUGGUCAAGCGGGCCACGCACCUUGUCACCAAGGCCAAGGAUGCUAUCAAGAUCAUACAUAAGACCCAGGUGGAUGAAGAAAACUUGAAGAAGAUUUUCCAGGAAGUUCAAAUUAUGAAGAUGCUUUGCCACCCCCAUAUCACCAGGCUCUACCAGGUUAUGGAGACAGAAUGGAUGAUUUAUCAGGUGACAGAAUAUGCUAAUGGAGGGGAAAUAUUUGAACACCUGGUGGCCCAUGGUAGAAUGGCAGAAAAAGAGGCACGUUGGAAAUUCAAGCAGAUCGUCACAGCUGUCUAUUUUGUCACUGUCGGAACAUUGUUCAUCUUGAUUUAAAAGCUGAAAAUUUGCUUCUGGAUGCCAAUCUGAAUAUCAAAAUAGCAGAUUUUGGUUUCGGUAACCUCUUCACUCCUGGGCAGCUGCUGAAGACAUGGUGUGACAGCCCUCGCUGUGCUGCACCUGAACUAUUUGAAGGAAAAGAAUAUGAUGGACCCAAAGUGGACAUCUGGAGCCUUGGAGUAGUCCAGUAUGUGCUUGUGUGUGGUGCCCUGCUGUUUGAUGAGAGCACACUGCAGAAUCUGCGGGCCUGUGUGCUGAGUGGAAAGUUCCGCAUCCCAUUUUUUAUGUCCACAGAAUGUGAGCAUUUGAUCCGCCAUAUGCUGGUGUUAGACCCCAAUAAGUGCCUCUCCAUGGAGCAGAUCUGCAAGCACAGGUGGAUGAAGCUAGGGGACGCCUAUCCCAACUUUGACAGGUUAAUAGCUGAAUGCCAACAACUAAAGGAAGAAAGAUGGGUGGACCCCCUGAAUGAGGACGUCCUCUUGGCCAUGGAGGACAUGGGACUGGACAAAAAGCGGACACUGCAGUCAUUAAGAUCAGAUGCCUAUGAUCACUAUAGUGCAAUCUACAGCCUGCUGUGUGAUCGACAUAAGAGACAUAAAACCCUGUGUCUCGGAGCACUUCCUAGCAUGCCCCGAGCCAUGGCCUUUCAAGCACCAGUCAAUAUCCAGGUGGAGCAGGCAGAUACCGCUAUGAACAUCAGCAUUCCCCAGUGCAGCUGAUCAAUGCAGAGAACCAAAUUGUGGAGCCAGAUGGGACACUGAAUUUGGACAGUGAUGAGGGUGAAGAGACUUCCCCUGAAGCAUUGGUGCGCUAUUUGUCCAUGAGGGGGCACACAGUGGGUGUGGCAGACCCAUGCAUGGAAGUUAUGGAAGAUCUGCAGAAGCUCCUACCUGGCUUUCCUGGAGUCAACCCACAGGCUCCAUUCCUGCAGGUGGCCCCUAACAUGAACUUCAUGCACAAACUGUUGCCUAUGCAAAAUUUACAACCAACCGGGUGACUUGAGUACAAGGGGCAGUCUCUCCUACAGCCACCCACGCUACAGCUGUUGAAUGGAAUGGUCCCCCUUGGCCAGAGAGCAUAGGAUGGAGGAGCCAACAUCCAGCUGCAUGCCCAGCAGCUGCUGAAGCACCCAUGGGGACCCUCUCCGCUUGUCACCAUGACACCAGCAGUGCCAGCAAUUACCCCUGUAGACGAGGAGAGCUCAGAUGGGGAACCAGAUCAGGAAGCUGUGCAGAGCUCUACCUACAAGGACUCUAACACUCUGCGCCUCCCUAUGGAGCAUUUCUCAUCUGUGCGCCGGUUUUCAGUUGGGGCUGCAAGUAUCCAGGCCUUCAAAGCUCACCUGGAAAAAAUGCGCAACAGCAGCAGCAUCAAACAGUUGCAGCAGGAGUUUGAGCAGCUGCAGAAGAUGUGCAGGGUGCAGAUUGAUGAAAGAACCCCGAAGAAGACCCAGCAGCAGCAGCACCAUCAAAUUCUCCAGCAACAAAUUCAAGACUCUACUUGUCCUCCUUAGCCAUCUUCACCUCUUCAGGCUGCAUGUGAAAAUCAGCCAGCCCUCCUCACCCACCAGCUCCAGAGGUUAAGGAUUCAGUCUUCAAGCCCACCCUAUAACCACCCCAACAACCAUCUCUUCAGGCAGCCCAGUAAUCGUCCUCCCUCAAUGAGCAGUGCCAUGAUCCAGCCUCACGGUGCUGCAUCUUCCUCCCAGUUUUAAGGCUUACCUUCUAGCAGUACAAUCUUCCGGCAGCAGCCUGAGAACUGUUCCUCUCAUCCCAAUGUGGCACUAACCUGCUUGGGCAUGCAGCAGCCUGCCCAGUCACAGCAGGUCACCAUCCAAGAGCCUGUUGACAUGCUCAGCAACAUGCCAGGCACAGCUGCAGGAUCCAGUGGGCAGGGCAUCUCCAUCAGCCCCAGUGCCAGACAGAUGCAGAUGCAGCACGGUACCAACCUGAUGGCCACCUUCAGCUAUGGGCACCGUCCCUUGUCCAAGCAGCUGAGUGCUGACAGUGCAGAGGCUCACAGCUUGAAUGUGAAUCAGUUCUCCCCUGCUAACUAUGACCAGGCACAUUUACACCACCAUCUGUUUUCCGACCAGUCCUGGGGUUCCUCCAGCACCUACAGCCCUUCAACAGGACUGGGGUUAUCUCCAACCCAAGCCCUGAAAGUCUCUCCACUUGACCGAUUCCUUCCCAGUGCACAUCAGCAGCUGCCACACUAUGCCAUAUCAGCACUACAGCAAGCCCUGCUGUCCCCCAUGCUGCCAGACUAUACAAGACACCUGCAGGUACCCCAUAUCCUUCAAGGACUGUUCUCUCCAUGGCAUUUGCUUACCGGACACUCAUACAUCCGGCUGUCCCCAGCAGAGUUUGCACAGCUCAUUAAAAGGCGCAAUAACAAUGGCAGAAGCAGUAGCAACAGCAAGAAUACCAGGAACUGUUCAGGCACAUGAACCAAGGGGAUACGGGGAGUCUGGCUCCUAGCCUUGGGGGACAGAGCAGGACAGAACACCAGGCUUUAUCAUAUCAAAAUGCUGACUCUUACCACCAUCACACCAGCCCCCAGCAUCUGCUACAAAUCAGGGCACAAGAAUGUAUCUCACAGGCUUCCUCAGCCACCCUGCCCCAUGGGUAUGCUCAUCAGCCGGCAGUGAUGCAUUCAGAGAGCAUGGAAGAGGACUGCUCAUGUGAGGGGGGCAAGGAUGGCUUUCCAGACAGUAGGAGUGCAAGUACAUUGACCAAAGUUGCCAUGACAGCCCUCUGCUCUUGAGUACCAGUGGACCUGGGGACCUCAAAUCUUUGCUAGGAACUGUGAGUCACACCCAGGAACUGGGGAUACAUCCCUAACGACAUCAGCCAACUGCUGAAUUCAGUAAAAAUAAGGUGCCCAGCAGAGAGCCUGUCAUAAGGAACUGCAUGGAUAGAAGCUCUCCAGAACAAGCAGUGGAGCUGCAGGGUCACAACGGGCUCGGGUACCCAGUACGCCCCUCCGUCCAGGAGCACCACAGGCCCCGGGCCCUCCAGAGACACCGCACAAUCCAGAACAGCAACGAUGCUUAUGUACAGCUGGAUAACUUGCCAGGAAUAAGUCUUGUGGCUGGGAAAGCACUUAGUUCUUCCCAGAUGUCAGAUGCAGUUCUCAACCAGUCUUUGCUCAUGGGUAGCCAGCAGUUUCAGGAUGGGGAAAAUGAGGAAUGUGGGGCAAGCCUGGGAGGUCAUGAGCACCCAGACCUGAGUGAUGGCAGCCAGCACUUAAACUCCUCUUGCUAUCCAUCUACCUGUAUUACAGACAGGUAAUACAGGCACCCUGAAGCUACAAGCACCCCGAAGUCUCCUUCAGCAUGGAGCAGGCAUGUAACAAGAAACAGAGUUGUGUGUACAGCUUGGGAAUGAAAAGGUUGAUCGAAACCCCACGGUAUCUAGCAGCACUGCGCCAAAUUCCUCUUUACCCAGAAUAUCACAGCUCCUCUCCUCACACUUGGUUCAUCCGUGUGCUGGUCCUUUGGGUUCUGAGAGGGUUUUGCCAUUGCUUGUAUGACCAAGUCACCAAGGAAAUAAAC